rnacentral:rRNA from 1 species
UACGAAGGGGGCUAGCGUUGUUCGGAAUCACUGGGCGUAAAGCGCACGUAGGCGGAUCUUUAAGUCAGGGGUGAAAUCCCGAGGCUCAACCUCGGAACUGCCUUUGAUACUGGGGAUCUCGAGUCCGGGAGAGGUGAGUGGAACUGCGAGUGUAGAGGUGAAAUUCGUAGAUUAUUCGCAAGAACACCAGUGGCGAAGGCGGCUCACUGGCCCGGAACUGACGCUGAGGUGCGAAAGCGUGGGGAGCAAACAGG